rnacentral:rRNA from 1 species
AUUAGAUACCCUGGUAGUCCACGCCGUAAACGAUGGAUACUAGGUGUCGGUGGUCUGACCCCCUCCGUGCCGCAGUAAACACAAUAAGUAUCCCACCUGGGGAGUACGAUCGCAAGGUUGAAACUCAAAGGAAUUGACGGGGGCCCGCACAAGCGGUGGAGUAUGUGGUUUAAUUCGAAGCAACGCGAAGAACCUUACCAGGGCUUGACAUGGGGAUGACCGGUGUAGAGAUACACUUUUCUCUUCGGAGACAUCCCACACAGGUGGUGCAUGGUUGUCGUCAGCUCGUGUCGUGAGAUGUUGGGUUAAGUCCCGCAACGAGCGCAACCCUUAUUGUUAGUUGCCAGCAUUAAGUUGGGCACUCUAGCAAGACUGCCGGUGACAAACCGGAGGAAGGUGGGGAUGACGUCAAAUCAUCAUGCCCCUUAUGACCUGGGCUACACACGUGCUACAAUGGACGGUACAACGAGUCGCAAGACCGCGAGGUUUAGCAAAUCUCUUAAAGCCGUUCUCAGUUCGGAUUGUAGGCUGCAACUCGCCUACAUGAAGUCGGAAUCGCUAGUAAUCGCGGAUCAGCAUGCCGCGGUGAAUACGUUCCCGGGCCUUGUACACACCGCCCGUCACACCAUGAGAGUUUGUAACACCCAAAGCCGGUGGGGUAACCUUUUGGAGCCAGCCGUCUAAGGUGGGACAGAUGAUUGGGGUGAAGUCGUAACAAGGUAGC